rnacentral:rRNA from 1 species
GUCGAGCGAGAAGACGUAGCAAUACGUUUGUAAAGCGGCGAACGGGUGAGGAAUACAUGGGUAACCUACCCUCGAGUGGGGAAUAACUAGCCGAAAGGUUAGCUAAUACCGCGUACGCUCCUUGGACUUCGGUUCAGGGAGGAAAGCGAUACCGUGGGUAUCGCGCUCUUGGUUGGGCUCAUGUCCUAUCAGCUUGUUGGUGAGGUAACGGCUCACCAAGGCUUCGACGGGUAGCUGGUCUGAGAGGACGAUCAGCCACACUGGCACUGCGACACGGGCCAGACUCCUACGGGAGGCAGCAGUGAGGAAUAUUGCGCAAUGGGCGAAAGCCUGACGCAGCGACGCCGCGUGGGGGAUGAAGGUCUUCGGAUUGUAAACCCCUUUCGGGAGGGAAGAUGGGACGGGCAACCGUCCGGACGGUACCUCCAGAAGCAGCCACGGCUAACUUCGUGCCAGCAGCCGCGGUAAUACGAAGGUGGCAAGCGUUGUUCGGAUUUACUGGGCGUACAGGGAGCGUAGGCGGUUUGGUAAGCCCUUCGUGAAAUCUCCAGGCUUAACCUGGAAAGGUCGGAGGGGACUGCCUGGCUAGAGGACGGGAGAGGAGCGCGGAAUUCCCGGUGUAGCGGUGAAAUGCGUAGAGAUCGGGAGGAAGGCCGGUGGCGAAGGCGGCGCUCUGGAACGUUCCUGACGCUGAGGCUCGAAAGCGUGGGGAGCAAACAGGAUUAGAUACCCUGGUAGUCCACGCCCUAAACGAUGGACACUAAGUGUCGGCGGGUUACCGCCGGUGCCGCAGCUAACGCAGUAAG